AUUGAACGCUGGCGGCAGGCCUAACACAUGCAAGUCGAACGAGUGGCGGACGGGUGAGUACUGUCUGGGAAACUGCCUGAUGGCGGGGGCUAACUACUGGAAACGGUAGCUCAUACCGCAUACCCUCAGAUGUGCCCAGAUGGGAUUAGCUAGUUGGUGGGGUAACGGCUCACCAUGGCGACGAUCCCUAGCUGGUCUGAGAGGAUGACCAGCCAAACGGGAACGGAGACACGGUCCAGACUCCUACGGGAGGCAGCAGUGGGGAAUAUUGCACAAUGGGCGCAAGCCUGAUGCAGCCAUGCCGCGUGUAUGAAGAAGGCCUUCGGGUUGUAAAGUACUUUCAGCGGGGAGGCGUUACCCGCAGAAGAAGCACCGGCUAACUCCGUGCCAGCCGCCGCGGUAAUUC
rnacentral:rRNA from 1 species